rnacentral:rRNA from 1 species
AACGAACGCUGGCGGCAUGCCUAACACAUGCAAGUCGAACGAUUGCCUUCGGGUGAUAGUGGCGCACGGGUGCGUAACGCGUGGGAAUCUGCCCUUAGGUUCGGAAUAACAGCUGGAAACGGCUGCUAAUACCGGAUGAUAUCGCGAGAUCAAAGAUUUAUCGCCUGAGGAUGAGCCCGCGUUGGAUUAGGUAGUUGGUGGGGUAAAGGCCUACCAAGCCGACGAUCCAUGGCUGGUCUGAGAGGAUGAUCAGCCACACUGGGACUGAGACACGGCCCAGACUCCUACGGGAGGCAGCAGUGGGGAAUAUUGGACAAUGGGCGCAAGCCUGAUCCAGCAAUGCCGCGUGAGUGAUGAAGGCCCUAGGGUUGUAAAGCUCUUUUACCCGGGAAGAUAAUGACUGUACCGGGAGAAUAAGCCCCGGCUAACUCCGU